ACGAGAGUGGUGUAAGGGUAACAUUCAGGCUUCCCAUGCUUGAGCUUCGAGUUCGAUUCUCGGCUCUCGUA